rnacentral:rRNA from 1 species
GCGGCGGAUGGGUGAGUAUCACGUGGGCAACCUGCCUGUAAGAUUGGGAUAACUCGCGGAAACGUGAGCUAAUACCGAAUGAAGUCUUUCGCCGCCUGGUGAAAGGAUGAAAGAUGGCUCUUGAGCUAUCACUUACAGAUGGGCCCGCGGCGCAUUAGCUAGUUGGUGGGGUAAAGGCCUACCAAGGCGACGAUGCGUAGCCGACCUGAGAGGGUGAUCGGCCACACUGGGACUGAGACACGGCCCAGACUCCUACGGGAGGCAGCAGUAGGGAAUCUUCCGCAAUGGACGAAAGUCUGACGGAGCAACGCCACGUGAGUGAUGAAGGUCUUCGGAUCGUAAAACUCUGUUGUCAGGGAAGAACAAGUUGUGUUCUAACAGGACAUGACCUUGACGGUACCUGACCAGAAAGCCCCGGCUAACUACGUGCCAGCAGCCGCGGUAAUACGUAGGGGGCAAGCGUUGUCCGGAAUUAUUGGGCGUAAAGCGCGCGCAGGCGGUCCUUUAAGUCUGAUGUGAAAGCCCACG